CCCGGCGACCGGCGCACGGGUGAGUAACACGUAUGAAACCUGCCCGUAGCAGGGGGAUAAGCGGAAGAAAUUCCGUCUAAUACCGCGUAACAAUCCAUGGAGGCAUCUCUGUGGGUUUAAAGGAAGCGAUUCCGGCUACGGAUGGUCAUGCGUCGCAUUAGCUUGUUGGCGGGGUAACGGCCCACCAAGGCGACGAUGCGUAGGGGUUCUGAGAGGAAGGUCCCCCACACUGGUACUGAGACACGGACCAGACUCCUACGGAAGGCAGCAG
rnacentral:rRNA from 1 species